rnacentral:misc_RNA from 1 species
GAUGAAGAACGUAGCGAAAUGCGAUAAGUAAUGUGAAUUGCAGAAUUCAGUGAAUCAUCGAAUCUUUGAACGCACAUUGCGCCCCCUGGUAUUCCGGGGGGCAUGCCUGUUCGAGCGUCAUUACAACCCUCAAGCUCUGCUUGGUAUUGGGCCCCGCCAGUUCUGGCGGGCCCUAAAGUCAGUGGCGGUGCCUUCCGGCUCCUAGCGUAGUAAUUCUUCUCGCUCUGGAGACCCGGUUGUGUGCUUGCCAACAACCCCCAAUUUUUUAAGGUUGACCUCGGAUCAGGUAGGGAUACCCGCUGAACUUAAGCAUAUCAAUAAGCGGAGGA